rnacentral:lncRNA from 1 species
GUCUUACCUACCCUGGGUCAUCCUUUGGGAUAAGUUGGACCCUGUAUCAGUUUCAUUGCUCAUGGCUAGGAUGGGUUUGACCAUCAAACUAUUAUUGGUUUGCAAGCAUGGUUUCCUGGAUCUCACAGACGUUGGGCUUUUCAACUGCAGACUUCAAUGCUUUGUUUCCAGGUGGCAGGAGAAACAUCACAUCUCAUUACCAACAAUUAUUUCCCUCAAAGAUCAAAGACAAUUACCAACCAGAGACAGAGCCCAUAAAGAUUAUUGGAGACUUCAUCGUUCUGUGGAAACAGCAUCCAGUGCAUUCUGCACGCAAUUGGACUGAGCUGAGGCAUCCUCUUGUUUAGGUGGACUUGGCUGUCCAUAGCAGCUGAAGUUCCAGUUGGAAUUAUUUCAGAAAGACUAAGUGUAUUUAUCAUAUGGAGAUUUUAAUCCACAUUUGAGUCUGCUUCAAUCAAGACUUUCUAAGCCAUUUUCAACUCACUCCUGAGAUUAUUGAAAAUAAUUUGCAGGCCUUACACAUUUUUGAUUAUGUACUCACCAGAAGAAUUUUGAAAAGCUCUGCAUUCCCUUGCCCAUUUUUAACUUAACAUUAAAACAUAAAGCUCUUGUACAUGUCAA